rnacentral:rRNA from 1 species
GAGUUUGAUCCUGGCUCAGAACGAACGUUAGCGGCGCGCCUAACACAUGCAAGUCGCACGAGAAAGGGCUUCGGCCCCGGUAAAGUGGCGCACGGGUGAGUAACACGUGGGUAAUCUGCCCUCGAGCGGGGGAUAACGGUCCGAAAGGACCGCUAAUACCGCAUAAGACCACGACCUCGAAAGAGGAUGCGGUCAAAGCUGGCCUCUAUUCAUAAGCUAGCACUUGAGGAUGAGCCCGCGGCGCAUCAGCUAGUUGGUGAGGUAAUGGCUCACCAAGGCUAAGACGCGUAGCUGGUCUGAGAGGAUGAUCAGCCACACUGGAACUGAGACACGGUCCAGACUCCUACGGGAGGCAGCAGUGGGGAAUCUUGCGCAAUGGGCGAAAGCCUGACGCAGCGACGCCGCGUGAGUGAUGAAGGCCUUCGGGUUGUAAAGCUCUGUGGGGAGAGACGAAUAAGUAGAAGCGAAUACCUUCUAUGAUGACGGUAUC